rnacentral:rRNA from 1 species
GUAGCUGGUCUGAGAGGAUGAUCAGCCACACUGGGACUGAGACACGGCCCAGACUCCUACGGGAGGCAGCAGUGGGGAAUAUUGGACAAUGGGCGCAAGCCUGAUCCAGCAAUGCCGCGUGGAUGAAGAAGGUCUUCGGAUUGUAAAGUCCUUUCGGCGGGGACGAUGAUGACGGUACCCGCAGAAGAAGCCCCGGCUAACUUCGUGCCAGCAGCCGCGGUAAUACGAAGGGGGCUAGCGUUGCUCGGAAUGACUGGGCGUAAAGGGCGCGUAGGCGGAUUGCUUAGUCAGGCGUGAAAGUCCUGGGCUCAACCUGGGGAUUGCGCUUGAUACGGGUGGUCUAGAGUUGGAAAGAGGGUCGUGGAAUUCCCAGUGUAGAGGUGAAAUUCGUAGAUAUUGGGAAGAACACCGGUGGCGAAGGCGGCGACCUGGUUCUUGACUGACGCUGAGGCGCGAAAGCGUGGGGAGCAAACAGGAUUAGAUACCCAGGUAGUCCACGCCGUAAACGAUGG